GUGAAUCAUCAAAUUUUUGAACGCAAAUUGCACUCUCUUCGUAGAGUAUGCCUGUUUGUGGGUCAGCCUAAAAAAAAUCUACGUAGUCGCUGUUUCGCGUUGACAUUCGUCGGGAAUGGGGUCAUCUUAGACCUUGUGGGUUUAAGCGGCUGAAAAUUUUCUUUACGAUUCCACUAACGUUUCGAAGAUUUACUUCUUACGUUUAAGGUAUCGAUUUUUAUUAGACGUGUCCGUUGCAUCGGGUUACGGCCAUAAAUAUUUCGUUAACUGACCUCAUACAU
rnacentral:misc_RNA from 1 species